rnacentral:snRNA from 1 species
UAGCUGGCUUCAUCAGCACAUAUACUGAAACUGGUACAAUACAGAGAAGAUUAGCAUGGCCUCUGCCAGAAUGCUCCUUAGAAGCAAGGUCGGCAAGACUUCAUC